rnacentral:tRNA from 1 species
GCCGAGGUGGCCCAGCCCGGUAAGGCGCGAGCCUGGAAACUUUCCGCCAGCUAGCUCGUGGCGGCAACGCCUCGGGAGUUCAAAUCUCCCCCUCGGCGCCA